UUUAGACUUUGGCUUCGGGAACGGCGAGGCGGCAAAGUCACCGGGAAACUGACAUUGAUUAGCGAGCAGCGGUGGCGUUGGCCUCGGCACCACCAGAUGGUCGCCGGUUCGACUUCCCUUCCAGCUCUCAAUGUCGCCUCAUCCUUCAGCACUAACGAGCCUACGUGGCGUUACCGCGCAUCACGCGAUGAAGCGAGAGGAAUCGAGGCGAGGCGGCACCGAGGCAGCGCGGCAUCCGAAGGGUUAAGGAGCGAAUUGCAAAGUUAAGGAGGAGCACAUGGCUGCCAGUUGACUUCACUCUGACCUGCCAUCGAUCGGCCCUCGGCCAGUUAGCCGGGGCCGCUCCGGUCGGCGUUAGGCCGUACAGAAGACACAAAGCACACAAAGGUAAAUGUGAUCUUUGGUCUUGGCGGUGCAUGCGUGCAGUUUAUCGGUCAUUCCGGCGGUUUACGAGCAGCCAUCCAGUGAGCAGCGACGCCAUGUCAUCCGGCGACACGGCGGUGAGACUUGCGCGGCAUUAUCGAGGCGGGCAGCCGGACGGAGGCAAACACCGACCACGCCAUCAAAGGCCGAGUGGCCCCGACUGGAAAAGGUCCCUGCGGCCGCCUUAUCUCCCGCAGCCACUUGGAGGCCGCGCCAGGCUGCAGCCGCUGGCCAAGCUCUGAUGUGAAGACAAGCCAGCUGUGCGCCAAGUGGAAAUGAAGAUUGGAGAUUAGUCGGCGACCUUCUCUGCCUCUUCUUGCUGUUCAGUACACGACAUCAAUCAAUGGUCGGCAUUGGUCAUGGAAGAGCGUUUUCGGAACCGAGCGUGUUGUUGAACGAAUCCAGAACGCCAGACUGAGAUGCUCUCGAAGACUAC